rnacentral:rRNA from 1 species
GUUCAACGGCCGCGGUAUCCUGACCGUGCGAAGGUAGCGUAAUCACUUGUCUUUUAAAUUGAGACUAGUAUGAAAGGCACCACGAGAAUUAAACUGUCUCCUUUUUCUAAUCUGUGAAACUGAUCCCCCCGUGAAGAAGCGGGGAUUUUGAUAUAAGACGAGAAGACCCUAUGGAGCUUCAGACAAAUAACAAUGCCCUCCCUUUUUUUUCUAAAAAAUACCCGAGCAUCUUAAUUAUUUAGUCUUAGGUUGGGGCGACCAUGGAGUAAAAAUCACCCUCCAUGCUGAACAGGACCUCCUUAAAUAAGAGUAACAACUCUAAGAAUCAAUAAAUUGACACAUUUGACCCAAUUACUUGAUCAACGAAACAAGUUACCCUAGGGAUAACAGCGCAAUCCACUUCAAGAGCCCUUAUCAACAAGUGGGUUUACGACCUCGAUGUUGGAUCAGGGUAUCCCAGUGGUGCAGCCGCUACUAAAGGUUUGUUUGUUCAACAAUUAAAACCC